CUUAGCAGCCGUCAUAUAGCAGGCAAAGGAGUUGCAGGUUCGGCAUUCUCCGGACUGUGUGUGCCCGUUAGUCACUCAAUCAGCAAAGCCAGCUGCAAACUUGGAAGAUGGCAUGCAGCUGAUGAGGAAGACAAGGCAAAUCCACGCCCGAUGGAGGUGGUCAAGACUGACAUCUACCCUGUGAUGCUGGACUCGAGGGAACCACAGAAAACCGGGGGCCUUCACUCACCUUUCCUAAGAACAUGAAGAAAUCCAAAAUGGUGGCUUUCUAGAUGGAUGACAGAGGAAAUGUUGAGCCCCUCUUUAAAGUCCUCUGGAAGGGCGUGGCUUUUUCACCUCUGGCUAAACAGGAGCUUUCUUCCUCAUCAGAGCCUGAAGCUUUUGAUCCUCCAUCUCCCGCUUAUUCGCAGACUAUGCAUACACAACUUCUCAGCCAGGGGCAUGGACUCAAGAACAGGCUUCCAUCCCAUGCUCCUGUGUUCACUGAAUUGAUCCUGGGAAGUUCUUGUGUAGGCAGACGCAGCAGCUGUGAGUUCAUGAGAGCUGGAACCUUGAGAAUCCAGAAG
rnacentral:lncRNA from 1 species